GUGCUCGCUUCGGCAGCACACAUACUAAGAUU
rnacentral:snRNA from 1 species